UUCUUAUCCAAGAUGUUUGUGAUAUACUUGAACAUUUUUAAUGUUACCGUUUAGUUGGAAAAUAUAUAUGGAAGGAUUUCGUCAAUGUAUUUUUUCCAUCAUCGUUUCAGUUAUUAUUAGUGGGGAACUUGUUGAGUUGUCUAAAAGUGACUUUAAAUCUCAUAUGCCAGCUGGUUAACUACUGUAUACAAAAUCUAAAAAUUGAUCAAGAAUCACAAUGAUUCUCAAUGAAAAUGGUGUAGGUGAAUUUUUGUGAAAAAGGGAAAGGAUUUAAUAGUAUCAUUGUAGGUGGAAGAAGGCUGCCCACCAAGUGAAUGAUAAAUUUUGAAUGAGAAUGUGGGCGUUGAAGAAUUUCAGCAACAUACGAAUUUUCUGAACUGUUCAUUCUUGACUUAAAAAUUACAAAGAUGCUAAAGAAAAUAGGAGUAAUAUUAACAGCUAACGGCAAUUUACCCUUAAAAUGGGUUUGAGACAUUUUACACACAAGGAGUCAUUGCAAGUUUGCAACAAUGCAGCCCACAUACAAGUCGAUUGGGAAUGCAGGCGGAAAAUUACUUCGUUAGACUUGCAGAUUACCAAAGACCGAAGUGAUAAUUGGGUUCUCAGUUCAAAAAUUUGGGCCGUUCGGAGUCGGAAAGUCGAGGGAAAGGCGUUCUUAUUGAUUGAUUGAGCGAGAUUUGAGACCAAAGUACCUCCUACCAGCCCCGAUAUCAGUGAGCAGUGAGUACGUGGAGACUUCAAGGUAUAUCUGCCAGCGUCCGCAGACCUCGGAGUCCCCCUCUACCUUUAGGAUGUUGUUUUUCAUUAUCUUCAUUAGACUCUGAUGUAUAAAGACAUUUAGCAUUUAUCUUAGAGCUUGUGAUUUAUUUUUACCGGGUUUUGGGAGUUGUAAUCAUUUUAAAUUGCAGUUUUAUUUAUUUCAGAUUUGGA